GAUGAACGCUGGCGGCGUGCCUAAUACAUGCAAGUCGAGCGAACAGACGAGGAGCUUGCUCCUCUGACGUUAGCGGCGGACGGGUGAGUAACACGUGGAUAACCUACCUAUAAGACUGGGAUAACUUCGGGAAACCGGAGCUAAUACCGGAUAAUAUAUUGAACCGCAUGGUUCAAUAGUGAAAGACGGUUUUGCUGUCACUUAUAGAUGGAUCCGCGCCGCAUUAGCUAGUUGGUAAGGUAACGGCUUACCAAGGCAACGAUGCGUAGCCGACCUGAGAGGGUGCUCGGCCACACUGGAACUGAGACACGGUCCAGACUCCUACGGGAGGCAGCAGUAGGGAAUCUUCCGCAAUGGGCGAAAGCUUGACGGAGCAACGCCGCGUGAGUGAUGAAGGUCUUCGGAUCGUAAAACUCUGUUAUUAGGGAAGAACAAAUGUGUAAGUAACUAUGCACGUCUUGACGGUACCUAAUCAGAAAGCCACGGCUAACUACGUG
rnacentral:rRNA from 1 species